AAUGAACGCUGGCGGCAUGCCUAAUACAUGCAAGUCGAGCGAACGGACAAUAAGCUUUCGUCUCUACUGUUAGCGACUGACGGAUGAGUAACGCAUAGAUCGCCUUCCUCUAAUUCUUGGAUGACUUCGUAAAACCACAUCUAAUACCACAUCAUAUUUUCUACCGCUGGGUGCAAAAGUUCAUUACAGUCUUUCUGUCUCUUAUAGAUGAAGCCGCGCUGCAUUAGCUAGUGGGUAAGGUAACGGCUCACCAAGGCAACGAUGCGUAGCUGACCUGAGAGGGUGAUCGGCCACACUGGAACUGAGACACGGUCCAGACUCCUACGGGAGGCAGCAGUGGGGAAUAUUGGGCAAUGGGCGCAAGCCUGAUCCAGCCAUGCCGCGUGAGUGAAGAAGGCCUUCGGAUUGUAAAGCCCUGUUGUUAGGAAAGAAAAGCUGCAGAAGAAUACCCCGCUGUUCUGACGGUACCCAAAGAGUAAGCACCGGCUAACUUCGUG
rnacentral:rRNA from 1 species